AUUGAACGCUGGCGGCAUGCUUUACACAUGCCAGUCGAACGGCAGCGCGGGCUUCGGCCUGGCGGCGAGUGGCGAACGGGUGAGUAAUGCAUCGGAACGUGCCCAGUAGUGGGGGAUAGCCCGGCGAAAGCCGGAUUAAUACCGCAUACGGCCUGAGGGUGAAAGCGGGGGACCGAAAGGCCUCGCGCUAUUGGAGCGGCCGAUGUCGGAUUAGCUAGUUGGUGGGGUAAAGGCUUACCAAGGCGACGAUCCGUAGCUGGUCUGAGAGGACGACCAGCCACACUGGGACUGAGACACGGCCCAGACUCCUACGGGAGGCAGCAGUGGGGAAUUUUGGACAAUGGGGGCAACCCUGAUCCAGCCAUGCCGCGUGCGGGAAGAAGGCCUUCGGGUUGUAAACCGCUUUUGUUCGGGAAGAAAUCCUCUGGGCUAAUACCCCGGGGGGAUGACGGUACCGGAAGAAUAAGCACCGGCUAACUACGUG
rnacentral:rRNA from 1 species